CGCUGCGCGGCUGUCGGCAAUUGCAAUUAGUUGGCUUCGUAAGACGACGCUAGUUCAUUGCCUCUGUUCUCCUCGCCUGUUCUGUCACCUGAACUGUUUCUUACCUGUUGCCAGCCCAGUGUCUUCCCGUUGUGUUUUUUCACUGAGCUUUCCCCUCUGUCGCCUUUUGUUGCCUGUAUCCUGCACUACUACACAAAACAGGAAGUUGGUGUCCGUGUGGUGUCUGGUCGUGUACACUCGCAUCAAGAAUCGCGUCUUCAAUGAAGCGCUCUUAGUCCCCGACCACCUCCUCCAGCUCCACCGGGAGGACACCAAGGCGUUCCCAGGCCAGCUGUGAGACAUAAUCCCUCCAGCGUGCCCUAGAUCUUCCCCGGGGCCUUCAUUGACACGUGCCCGAAACACCUCACCAGGGAGGCGCCCGGGAGGCAUCCGGACGAGAUGCCUGAGCAACCUCAGCUGGCUCCUCUCGAUGUGAAGGGUUUAUUUCCUGGGAUUUCCAAGCAUACUUAAAUGCAGUAAACUGUACCUCAGCAGUAAGAGCAAGGGAGUGAUAAGAAAAUCCACUUAUUUUUUCUUUGUCUUUCUGUUAAGACCACGCAUACAUAAUAAACACGUUCUUGUGAUGUUCAGAGUGUCCCUGAAUGCCCCUCUCUGGUCAUCUCAUGACAAUGAGGAAGUGUGGUCCCGGGAGGACUACAGAUGCAUACAUGGUGUUGGAGUUGCCCUGCUGUUGUGUUCAAGUUAGA